UUAACUCUUGGUUGAAAAGUAUCACAAAACGCUGCACUGCCGUCUUUGAAUAUGAUUGUGAUGCAUUUUUGAUGUCGCUUCUUUUGUACGUAAGUGUCCCCUUUUUCUCCUGUGUUGGCAAUUGUUCACACUGUGGAUCUACUACAAACUGAUUGAGGACAUUGAGUUGAGUUGAUUGCAUCAAGUGAUCCAAGCUCAGAACAUCUGAAAAUGGAGAGCAAUGAGGAAGGUACCCACAUUCACACAAAAAACAGACCCAGCUCACGUACCAAUAAGGAUUCCAAACGAAAAGGCUUCCUGGCGUUGUGUUUCCUGGGCCUGCUUGGUGCUCUCCUGCUUUUGUUUUUGAAGGCCUUUGUUGAGAAAGAAAAGCUUAAAAAGGAGAAUGAGCGGUUAAAGGCCAUAUACAGCACUGUUGUUGAGGAGAGAGAUGAGCUACGGACACAUGUAUCCAAAAUAGAAUCCAUGCUGGAGAUAAAAUCUUAUGCAGUUGAUGUGACUCUGGACCCUGAUACAGCGCAUCCAGGUCUUAACCUGUCUGCUGACGGGAAACAAAUGAGACAUGAAGACGUACUACAGGUUUUUCCCAGCAAUGCAGAGAGGUUUGACAUUGCGCCCUGUGCUAUGGGAAAAGAGGGAUUCUCUUCCGGAAAAUUCUAUUUUGAAGUGGAUGUCACAGGAAUGACCGAUGCAGAUUUAGGAAUAGCUUCCCACUCAGUGGAAAGGAAGGGAGAAAUAAAAGCGAGUCCUGCGCGAGGAUUCUGGGAAUUAUGGCUGAAAAAUGAGUAUGAAGCAAUAUUAGAUCAUAAGAAUAUCCCCCUCUCCAUGGAAGAGGUACCACAAGUGGUUGGGGUGUUUGUGGAUUAUGAGGCAGGUCUGGUCUCUUUCUACAAUGCAGACACCUGGCAUCAUAUCUACUCUUUCACUAGUGCUUCCUUCACUACGAAAAUAUAUCCAUCUCUCUGCAUAAAUGUAGUCGGUGAAACUCUUGCCUUCAAAACAAAGUGUCACUAGUCUUAGAAAUUAUGGAAAGCCCUUUUCAAAAAUUUUAUAUUUGAGAUUAGGAUUUGAGGUUAACUAUGAUUAGUGAUUAGAGGUCAAUUAUGAUUUUUUUUUAUGUAUAUUUUUAUUCUACCCAUAUUAGACCGUGA